CUUAUGAUGCGCUGUGGGUAGAAGGUAAAUGAGUGACAAAUGAUGUUUUAUUCACUUUCUAGUGUUUGCAAAGAGUGAAUUCAGGUACUUCUUACUGAAACUACUCACCCAAGAGGUAUUAUUUAUGUAAACUUAGGGUUGGUGCAUGUGCUUGCUUGCCAGGAUACUUACUUCUUUCUUUGUCAUAUGCAGGUUGCCAUGUACAUCCUUUGUCUGAUAUGGGUUCUUCUACCUCUGUUUUUGCUCCGCACUUUUAUAUUCAUUGUCAACCUGUUAUUAUGGUUGCCUCUGUUGGUUCUAGAUUAUGCCGCACACUUGAUGUUUGAAUGAAUUGGUUCCUGGUGCACACCUCCCCUCUCCGAGGAACUAGACGUUGACAUUCAUAGAUGGAUGAUGCCUGGGACCCCGACGGUCUUCAUGGACAUCAGUGUGGAUCAACCUAGCCGAUGAGCUGUAGGUUGAUGUGAAUGGCGUUGGCGAGAAAGUUUCAUUGUUUUCUUAUCAGUGGUUGUUUUUGAGAUUUGUUCCUUGCAUGUGCUAUACAAGUUAUGCUCCUGGCUGGUGGUAUACUGAAGUAAUGGCUUUGUCGAAUUUACACAA